rnacentral:lncRNA from 1 species
AAAGAGAUAUUUAGGUAUUAUGUUCAUACAUGAUCCUAUAUAUUACAUUGAUGGUAGGUUCAUCGGCCAAAAAAAGGCAUGAGGCAUAUGACAGUCAUUUAAAUCAGGUAGACUCAUCGCUGUGUGUGCCAUCGAUGUUGAAACUGACCUCAUUGUCUAAGCAACUCUUCAUGGUGGGCUGUCAUUGGCAAAAGCAGAUAUGACUUCCAUGCAAUCAUCCAAUCUUAGAUGGAUAGAACUGAACAGUUGCCCCGAGACCAACGGUCCUUGUGUUGAGUGUUAAGUAAACUAAGUUUGGAUGGCCAAUUUGUUGCAUCAUAGCAUCCAAAAGCACUUUUUCCAUCACGGCGGACUGAUGACAGAGAGGAAGACAAUGUAAGCAAGUGUUGAAAGCUUUAUUCUACAUGUGUCUAUAUAUCUAUAAUUUUUUGUGACAAAAAGAUUGCUGAUAAACAAUUGUAAUUGUAAGUGAAUGUGUAGUUCGCAUGUACAAUCUCAAACUCUUGUGGUUUAGACAUGGUAGUAAAUAUGAAGAGACAUGUGCAUAUACCAACAGAUGAUAAAAAAUAAGAAUAAUAGGGUUUUAAGCUUGCUUUUCUGUAGAGGAUAAAGCAUGUACUAUCUGUUAGGUACCAACAAAAUAGCACCUUUACAUGUAUGUAUGACGACGUAUCAAUCGACUUUUAAGUUGUUGAUUACGAACCAUAUACGCAUCAAGGACCGAUAGCUUGACCAAAGAAGGAACUUCAUUAGCAUUUGCCAGAUCAGGCUAUAGAAGCAAAAACAAAGUACCAUCAGGUUGAUCUCUAAUUUUCAUCGAACUAACACAAGGGCAUUUUACACUGCCCGCCAGGCCGCCACCACUAUUGUUGUCCGUAAACAAAUGUUUAUCUACUAUUGUACUCAGGUUAACUUGAAUCAGCCAGCAUGAAUCAGACAUUUCUGAAAUGGGCAUCAACAGAUCAACAUGGUAUGCAUCUACAUGAGACGACCAAUCUUUUCUUGUUAAGAAUGACACAAAUAUUGACCUCAGUGACGGGCAAUAACUAUACUGCUACAUCUGCUUCAGAAGUAAAAUUUCUCUAUCUUUGACCAUGUCUCUAAGGAACAACAUUAGCUGGAAACUGAAAUAAUACUGUGAUGUUGGUCAAGGUUUGCGUUGAAGUGGGUGAAGCGGUCUGAUUCAGUGAUGAUCCACCAGAGGAAGUGACGUGCUGGUGCGAUGCAUAUAGGGGAGGUAGCGGAUCUUGCGGGUGAGGGAGCAGAUCUUGCAAUCGACGUUGAGGUACAUCAACGAUGGACUGGAGGAGACAGGGUGAGUGAGAGAUGGUUUGGUACACGGAGGGGGGAGGAGGGGACGGAUAAGGUCAAGGCAUUAGCAACCUGGCAAGUGGAAUUCAAUCCUAUAGUUGGAUAGUUCCAGUGGAUUUUACUAUAUAGUUUUGUAGCUUUAAUUAGUGAAAAGGCCUCAAUUGGUUUCUGCAACAUGCUUGUCUGUUGGCAGCUGGAGCAUACUUGGCAAAUAAUGGGCCUUGCCGUGAGUGGUGGUGGGUGACCUCGACGAGCAGGGCAAUGGCCAGAUACGAGUCAGGCACCAAAGAUGACUGGAAGCACUCAAAAAAGUUUACCACGCUAGAGCUAUGUCAGGUACCUACUAAUUACAAAAAAUGAAUUUUAGUGAACAGGAGAAUCUUCACCUGAGAUUGAAGUAAGAAAAUGGGAUUAGUUCACCUUUGAUCUGCAAUAGCACAUUUAGGAAUACCCAAUUUAUUCUUCAAUCAUGCAAGUACCCAGGACAAAAACACUUCCAGCUCAUUGGUGAGCAACCUUACCAAAGCUCCUGCAAAUUGGAAAACUAUGAUUUCAGGAGGGUAAAUGACACCAACAACUAUCAGGCAUAGCUCCCAGUAUGAAGUUGGUACCAUUUGCACAUUUGGUACUAACAACAGCUCUAGUGAUAAAGAAAGAUGCAGUGGUAUAUGAAGAAUUCUGUAGGGCAGAAAUAAAUGUUGCUUUUGUACAUCUCUAGUCUAGAAAGAAAUGAUAUAUAGUAGAAAUACUAAAUAUUACAGGGCAAAAGAAAUUACUACCGUCCAUACGCGAGAGGUGACUGAGCUUAAUGCCUAGCAAACUAUUUAAGCCUACACACACAUAGCAAUGUUAAGAUCUCCAUGUAUUUCUUGGAAUGGAAAAGACCUCUGGAUUUUAUACAAAAGCAUGAUACAAUCUGUUUCUCCAUUUUUGAACUCAUUUCAAAUGACUUCAGUAAGAAAAAAAUUAGUUCUUAUCUCGCAACUCAUUGAAACAGACAACCUGGCAUUACAUCAAGGUGACCACCUCGGGUUGCGAAACAUGGCCUAUAAUAAUAUGACAGUAAACACAUAUUCAUAUGAACCUAGGCAGCAAUAACCUCUGAUAGGAGGAAGGGGAAGACCAAACAUGAAUUAUAGAGGACCUCUGGAUAGGCCAUUGGGCACUAAUUGCUCUAAAAGCACACAAAAAGUAAGUUGACACCAACGGAAUACAGUUGCAUCACUUCUCAUGCACCAAGUAAAGCAGAAAUGAGUGAGCAAAUCAAACAAAUAUUCACUCAAGGAGAUCAGAUCCAAUUGGCUAAACACAUAUUGCAGAGAUAGAGUCCUAGUUUUUACCUCGCCUAUUUGUGGCCAGUAACCCCAUGAGAAUCUCAUCUCGUGCAUCAAAAUCCUAUGACCCCCACUCCAAGCAUAAAGGCCAAGACCAACAACGGCGGAGGAUCUGUGAAAGGCAAAGAAAGUGAGAGAAGCACCCUGGUCUGAACCAAUCCAACAUAAGAAUGUGGCCAUUUAAUCAAGAACAAAUAACUGUGAGCGCGUUUUACUGACAAGCUAGAUCAAACAUCAUUAAGAAGAAACAAUCUUAAACAUUAUAUUGAAGUAAACAUUAGGAAGUGCUUCAGUAUUGACUUUUAUCUAAAAUUCUAAACAGGGGAACACCUGGGCUUUACAUUGCAUAGUUCAGUAGAGAUCAUGAG